CCCGGUGAUAGCUGGUUCUCCCCGAAAUAUAUUGAGGUAUAGCCUUGCGGAUUGUCUUAUGGAGGUAAAGCUCUGACAGAACUAGGGGUCCUAUCCGACUACCGAAUUCUUUCAAACUCUGAAUACCAUUAAGAUUUACCGCAGGAGUCAGACGGCGGGUGCUAAGGUUCGUCGUCAAAAGGGCAACAGCCCAGACCGACAGCUAAGGCCUCCAAAUGCAUGCUCAGUGGUUAAGGUGGUGGCGUUGUGUAGACACCCAGGACGUUGGCUUAGAAGCAGCCAUCGUUUAAAGAAAGCGUAAUAGCUCACUGGUUCAAUGGCGCUGCGCCGAAAAUGUAACGGGGCUAAGCAUGCUGCCGAAGCUUCGGAUUUGUCUCUGACAACUGGUAGGGGAGCGUUCUCUGCGGGCUGAAGCGGAACCGAAAGGUUUCGUGGACUGCAGAGAAGUGAUUAUGCUGACAUGAGUAACGAUAAAAUAUGUGAAAAACAUAUUCGCCGUAAAUCCAAGGUUUCCUGGGUAAAGGUAAUCUUCCCAGGGUUAGUCGGACCCUAAGGCCAGGCUGAAAGGCGUAGCUGAUGGGAAACGGGUUAAUAAUCCUGUACUUGUGCGAUUGUGCGAAGAAGGGACGCAGGAUGGUAGACAGGCCGGUUUUUGGAAUCCGGUGCAAGUGUGUAGGUAUGCCCCGCAGGCAAAUCCGCGGGGAUGAGCCGAGACACGAGUCCGUGGGCGUAAGCCCUGAAGCUGUUGAGCCACGGCUGCCAAGAAAAGCUUCUAAGUUUAGAUCGCGCGAACCGUACCGCAAACCAACUCAGGUGGAUGGGAUGAAUAAUCCAAGGCGCUCGAGAGAACUCUGGCCAAGGAACUCGGCAAAUUGACCCCGUACCUUCGGAAUAAGGGGUGCUCCCCAUGGUGAGACAAAUACUUGUUCAGCCUCAGGGAGCCGCAGAGAAAUGGUGGUGGCGACUGUUUACUAAAAACAUAGGUCUGUGCGAAGUCCUACAGACGACGUAUACGGACUGACGCCUGCCCGGUGCCGGAAGGUUAAAAGGAGGAGUCAGCGCAAGCGAAGCUCCGAUUUGAAGCCCCGGUAAACGGCGGCCGUAACUAUAACGGUCCUAAGGUAGCGAAAUUCCUUGUCGGGCAAGUUCCGACCUGCACGAAUGGCGUAACGAUCUCCACGCUGUCUCGGCCAGAGACUCGGUGAAAUUGAAGUCGCGGUGAAAAUGCCGUGUACCCGCAGAAAGACGGAAAGACCCUGUGCACCUUUACUAUAGCUUGACAUUGGGUUUUGAACCUGCAUGUGUAGGAUAGGUGGGAGGCUGUGAAAGCUGUACGCCAGUAUGGCCGGAGCCACCCGUGAAAUACCACCCUUGUUUGUUCAGGACCCUAACUCGCAGCUGUAAUCCAGCGCGAAGACAGUGUCUGGUGGGUAGUUUGACUGGGGCGGUCGCCUCCUAAAGAGUAACGGA
rnacentral:rRNA from 1 species